rnacentral:rRNA from 1 species
GCCUAACACAUGCAAGUCGAGCGGUAGAGAGAAGCUUGCUUCUCUUGAGAGCGGCGGACGGGUGAGUAAUGCCUAGGAAUCUGCCUGGUAGUGGGGGAUAACGUUCGGAAACGGAUGCUAAUACCGCAUACGUCCUACGGGAGAAAGCAGGGGACCUUCGGGCCUUGCGCUAUCAGAUGAGCCUAGGUCGGAUUAGCUAGUUGGUGAGGUAAUGGCUCACCAAGGCGACGAUCCGUAACUGGUCUGAGAGGAUGAUCAGUCACACUGGAACUGAGACACGGUCCAGACUCCUACGGGAGGCAGCAGUGGGGAAUAUUGGACAAUGGGCGAAAGCCUGAUCCAGCCAUGCCGCGUGUGUGAAGAAGGUCUUCGGAUUGUAAAGCACUUUAAGUUGGGAGGAAGGGCAGUUACCUAAUACGUGAUUGUUUUGACGUUACCGACAGAAUAAGCACCGGCUAACUCUGUGCCAGCAGCCCGCGGUAAUACAGAGGGUGCAAGCGUUAAUCGGAAUUACUGGGCGUAAAGCGC